rnacentral:pre_miRNA from 1 species
UGUGUACUCCCUCCGUUCAGAAUUACUUGUCUCGAAAAUGGAUGUAUCUAAAACUAAAAUACAUCUAGAUACAUUCAUUUUCGAGACAAGUAAUUCCGAACAGAGGAAGUACGUG